GAUGAACGCUAGCGGCAGGCUUAAUACAUACAAGUCGAGGGGCAGCACAGAUAGCAAUAUUGGGUGGCGACCGGCAAACGGGUGCGGAACACGUACACAACCUUCCUUUUGGUGGGGGAUAGCCUUUGGAAACGGAGAUUAAUACCCCAUAAGAUAUUGGGACCGCAUGGUUUUGAUAUUAAAGAUUUAUUGCCAGAAGAUGGGUGGGCGUAUGAUUAGGUAGUUGGUGAGGUAAAGGCUCACCAAGCCGACGAUCAUUAACUGGUGUGAGAGCACGACCAGUCACACGGGCACUGAGACACGGGCCCGACUCCUACGGGAGGCAGCAGUAAGGAAUAUUGGUCAAUGGACGGAAGUCUGAACCAGCCAUGCCGCGUGGAGGAUGAAGGUCCUCUGGAUUGUAAACUUCUUUUAUAUGGGGCGAAAAAGGGCCAUUCUUGGUCAACUGACGGUACCAUAUGAAUAAGCACCGGCUAACUCCGUGCCAGCAGCCGCCGUAACAC
rnacentral:rRNA from 1 species